rnacentral:rRNA from 1 species
AACGAACGCUGGCGGCAUGCCUAACACAUGCAAGUCGAACGAGACCUUCGGGUCUAGUGGCGCACGGGUGCGUAACGCGUGGGAAUCUGCCCUUCGGUUCGGAAUAACAGUUAGAAAUGACUGCUAAUACCGGAUGAUGACGUAAGUCCAAAGAUUUAUCGCCGAAGGAUGAGCCCGCGUAGGAUUAGGUAGUUGGUGGGGUAAUGGCCCACCAAGCCGACGAUCCUUAGCUGGUCUGAGAGGAUGAUCAGCCACACUGGAGCUGAGACACGGCCCAGACUCCUACGGGAGGCAGCAGUGGGGAAUAUUGGACAAUGGGCGAAAGCCUGAUCCAGCAAUGCCGCGUGAGUGAUGAAGGCCUUAGGGUUGUAAAGCUCUUUUACCAGGGAUGAUAAUGACAGUACCUGGAGAAUAAGCUCCGGCUAACUACGUGCCAGCAGCCGCGGUAACAC